rnacentral:misc_RNA from 1 species
UCAAACUUGGUCAUUUAGAGGAAGUAAAAGUCGUAACAAGGUUUCCGUAGGUGAACCUGCGGAAGGAUCAUUAACGGGUUUCGAAAGUCGGGGUCCUGCUGCUGGCGCGGAGAAGACGCGCACGUGCACGGGCCCCUCUCGCUCGAUCCGCUCAACCCCUGUGCACCCUUUGCAGAGCGAGUAGGACGUUCCCUCCCUUCGGGCGGUGCGGACCAGCAGUAGCGAGUAGGGCGAGCGUGCCGAGUCACCAGUAGCUCGAAAGCGAGACGGUCUUUCGCUCGGAGGCGGAGGGGAGGUUCGAAAGCUUUGAUCUCAAUCAACCUAUCUCAUGUCUUGUGAAACGUGCCGCCCCUCGCGGGCGAAGCGAAUACAACUUUCAACAACGGAUCUCUUGGCUCUCGCAUCGAUGAAGAACGCAGC